rnacentral:rRNA from 1 species
UACGUAGGGGGCAAGCGUUGUCCGGAAUCAUUGGGCGUAAAGAGCGCGUAGGCGGUCUUUUAAGUCGGGGGUGAAAUCCUGGGGCUCAACUCCAGAACUGCCUUCGAUACUGGAAGACUUGAGUCCGGGAGAGGUGAGUGGAACUGCGAGUGUAGAGGUGAAAUUCGUAGAUAUUCGCAAGAACACCAGUGGCGAAGGCGGCUCACUGGCCCGGUACUGACGCUGAGGUGCGAAAGCGUGGGGAGCAAACAGG